rnacentral:rRNA from 1 species
CGGGUGAGUAAUACUUGGGAAUUUGCCUUUAGGCGGGGGACAACCACUGGAAACGGUGGCUAAUACCGCAUAAUGUCUACGGACCAAAGUGGGGGACCUUCGGGCCUCACACCUAAAGAUGAGCCCAAGCGGGAUUAGCUAGUUGGUGAGGUAAAGGCUCACCAAGGCGACGAUCCCUAGCUGUUCUGAGAGGAUGAUCAGCCACACUGGGACUGAGACACGGCCCAGACUCCUACGGGAGGCAGCAGUGGGGAAUAUUGCACAAUGGGCGCAAGCCUGAUGCAGCCAUGCCGCGUGUGUGAAGAAGGCCUUCGGGUUGUAAAGCACUUUCAGUGGUGAGGAAAGGGUAAUCGUUAAUAGCGAUUACAGUUGACGUUAGCCACAGAAGAAGCACCGGCUAACUCCGUGCCAGCAGCCGCGGUAAUACGGAGGGUGCAAGCGUUAAUCGGAAUUACUGGGCGUAAAGCGUACGUAGGCGGUGUGUUAAGCUAGAUGUGAAAGCCCCGGGCUCAACCUGGGAAUUGCAUUUAGAACUGGCACGCUAGAGUCCUGAAGAGGGUGGUAGAAUUUCCAGUGUAGCGGUGAAAUGCGUAAAUAUUGGAAGGAAUACCGGUGGCGAAGGCGGCCACCUGGUCAGAGACUGACGCUGAGGUACGAAAGCGUGGGGAGC